rnacentral:rRNA from 1 species
GCUAAACGCGAAGAACCUUACCUGGGUUUGACAUGCACUAGACGCGUUCAGAGGUGGGCGUUCCUUUUUGGCUGGUGUGCAGGUGGUGCAUGGCUGUCGUCAGCUCGUGUCGUGAGAUGUUGGGUUAAGUCCCGCAACGAGCGCAACCCUCGUCCUAUGUUGCCAGCGGUUCGGCCGGGAACUCAUGGGAGACUGCCGGGGUCAACUCGGAGGAAGGUGGGGAUGACGUCAAGUCAUCAUGCCCCUUAUGUCCAGGGCUUCACGCAUGCUACAAUGGCUGGUACAAAGGGUUGCGAUAUCGUGAGGUGGAGCGAAUCCCGUAAAGCCAGUCUCAGUUCGGAUUGGGGUCUGCAACUCGACCCCAUGAAGUCGGAGUCGCUAGUAAUCGCAGAUCAGCAUUGCUGCGGUGAAUACGUUCCCGGGUCUUGUACACACCG